CUCAGAAUAUAAAGCAGAGGUCUCAUUUGGGACAUGCUGCCCUUUAACCUUUUUGUUUGUGUCUCUAACUGCAGCAAGUCCUCAGUACGCACUGCCCUUCUCACAUCCCUGGCAGGGGUGUGCCAAUGACAACUCAGCCAAGAGUGGAUACUGCAAUGGUCCUCUCGCACAUUUUAAUUGAUUUUCCUCAGCAGACCACCUGCCAAGAGGUGCAACCAGCAGGUCCUCCACCAGCCCCCAGCACGUGCGCGGCUGUUACGCUUGGUUCAUGUGUGUCUUCAUCUUCAUCUUUGGAGGAUUCCUUGGCUGUUUCCUAAUCCCAUUAUAUGCAAAAGGUUUUAGGGAUGUGCAUCACAUUGUGCCCCCAGCUGCCAAGAAGUCCUCUCUUGUCCGUAAGCGCUUUUGAGAAGAAGCGGCCACCAUGUCUCCGACCAGCCCCCUGGUUCCUCUCUUCUCCUCUGC